AGCGAACGCUGGCGGCGUGCUUAACACAUGCAAGUCGAACGAAGGCUUCGGCCUUAGUGGCGGACGGGUGAGUAACGCGUGGGAAUCUACCUUACGGCGGGGAAUAACAGCGGGAAACUGCUGCUAAUACCGCAUACGCUCUACGGAGGAAAGGCUUCGGCCACCGUUUGAGGAUCCCGCGUCCGAUUAGCUAGUUGGUGAGGUAACGGCUCACCAAGGCGACGAUCGGUAGCUGGUCUGAGAGGAUGAUCAGCCACACUGGGACUGAGACACGGCCCAGACUCCUACGGGAGGCAGCAGUGGGGAAUAUUGGACAAUGGGGGAAACCCUGAUCCAGCGACGCCGCGUGAAUGAUGAAGGCCUUAGGGUUGUAAAGUUCUUUCGUCCGUGACGAUGAUGACAGUAGCGGAAGAAGAAGCUCCGGCUAACUUCGUGCCAGCAGCCGCAGUAA
rnacentral:rRNA from 1 species